UUAAACUGGUUUCGGUGCUGACUGGCUGGAAGGAGAAAUCUAAGCAGUAAUGAGGCAGUGUUCUGAAUAUCCUUCCUCAUUUAUCCUAGUGGUUCUCAGGGGCAGCGAUGGGUGUGCUCGUUAGCAGGCUCAUUCCACCAAUGCAAGAACCAGGCAAGAUCAGAGGAGGACACAGAUGAGUGGUCUCGCCCACCUGCAAGUGUGGGCUUGAAUGGUGUUGCUAUGGGACUCUGCGGCACUACGCUUGGCUAUGCUCUGACUCUCUCUGCCUAAUACUUCAUGCCAAGGUGCUUUGAACACGCAGUGAUAUGCUGUAGAAGCCAAGAAGAAAAUGCAAAUGCCUUCCAGGUUAUGACACCAGUUUGAUCUGAGGGAGUGAUCUUUGCCUUACCACUCCUGCUCCGUAAGAAUAAAGGGACAUCAGAAGUUUCCUUCUGCAAUGACUGCAUAACCUACCCCUGUCCCCAUAAAGGGUAUAAACUCAGAUGACCUUAGUUAUUAUUCCCAUGGUGAUUUUAGAAAGAGUUUAUGUGUGCAUAUGCAAGUGUGCAUACACAUUGGAACAGCAAAGAUAAAACAUGAUACAUUGUUGUUAACCUUCAAGUCUCUUUAUAUCCUUUAGUAAUUGCACAAGAGGGCCAGAGUCACAUGUGAAACUAAUUACAGAAGAUCAUAUUGAGUAGCAUACCCACUAAAAUGCUGUUAUGAGUUUACAUUAUUCGCUAAAAGAUUGAAUAUGAGAAAAAAUUCUGAUUUUUAUACAUUAUUUCCAAAAGGAGUCAACUCCAUUUUAAAAAUGCUACUGUUUGGGGAAGGGGGUCUCCCUAUUUCAAUGAAAUGAUUAUCUGAAAAGUACACAUAUUGUUUUGUUUAUAAAAAUCUCUGGUGUGUUUUGUUUGGCCUUUUCUAACCACUUCACUUAGCAAAUUGGUUUUUGCCCAGAUGUUUUAUACAUGCUGUAUUAUUUGACCAUCUGUUGUCUUUGACACAUUGUUUUUAUGAGUUUUAUUUAUUUUUAAAAAGUUGUCUCUCAGUGAGUUGCUCAUUUUACU